rnacentral:rRNA from 1 species
UACAGAGGUCUCAAGCGUUGUUCGGAUUCAUUGGGCGUAAAGGGUGCGUAGGCGGCAGCGCAAGUCAGGUGUGAAAUCCCGGGGCUCAACCCCGGAACUGCACUUGAUACUGCGUUGCUUGAGUACUGGAGAGGAGACUGGAAUUUACGGUGUAGCAGUGAAAUGCGUAGAUAUCGUAAGGAAGACCAGUGGCGAAGGCGAGUCUCUGGACAGUUACUGACGCUGAGGCACGAAGGCCAGGGGAGCGAACGGG